GCUUACACAUGCAAGUCGAACGAUGAUCCGGUGCUUGCACCGGGGAUUAGUGGCGAACGGGUGAGUAACACGUGAGUAACCUGCCCUUAACUCUGGGAUAAGCCUGGGAAACUGGGUCUAAUACCGGAUAUGACUCCUCAUCGCAUGGUGGGGGGUGGAAAGCUUUUUUGUGGUUUUGGAUGGACUCGCGGCCUAUCAGCUUGUUGGUGAGGUAAUGGCUCACCAAGGCGACGACGGGUAGCCGGCCUGAGAGGGUGACCGGCCACACUGGGACUGAGACACGGCCCAGACUCCUACGGGAGGCAGCAGUGGGGAAUAUUGCACAAUGGGCGCAAGCCUGAUGCAGCGACGCCGCGUGAGGGAUGACGGCCUUCGGGUUGUAAACCUCUUUCAGUAGGGAAGAAGCGAAAGUGACGGUACCUGCAGAAGAAGCGCCGGCUAACUACGUGCCAGCAGCCGCGGUAAUACGUAGGGCGCAAGCGUUAUCCGGAAUUAUUGGGCGUAAAGAGCUCGUAGGCGGUUUGUCGCGUCUGCCGUGAAAGUCCGGGGCUCAACUCCGGAUCUGCGGUGGGUACGGGCAGACUAGAGUGAUGUAGGGGAGACUGGAAUUCCUGGUGUAGCGGUGAAAUGCGCAGAUAUCAGG
rnacentral:rRNA from 1 species